rnacentral:rRNA from 1 species
UACGUAGGGGGGCAAGCGUUGUCCGGAAUCAUUGGGCGUAAAGAGCGUGUAGGCGGCUCGGUAAGUCCGCUGUGAAAGUCCAGGGCUCAACCCCUGGAAUGCCGGUGGAAACUGUCGAGCUAGAGUCCGGAAGAGGCGAGUGGAAUCCUGGUGUAGCGGUGAAAUGCGCAGAUAUCAGGAGGAACACCAAUGGCGAAGGCAGCUCGCUGGGACGGUACUGACGCUGAGACGCGAAAGCGUGGGGAGCAAACGGG